rnacentral:tRNA from 2 species
GGGAGGUUAGCUCAGUUGGUUAGAGCACCUGCCUUACACGCAGGGGGUCGCGGGUUCGAGUCCCUCACCUCCCACCA